rnacentral:rRNA from 1 species
GAGAGUGAGNGCCGACGUACCGUCGUCGGNGGACCCGCAAGGGCCAAGCGGCCGAAGGCGAGCAUCAUGACUGGGGCG